CUAGCAAAACAGUGUUAAGUUUUGUAGGUGUUACAAGCAUACAAGUAUAUUGUGGGAUGGCUCUGCAUUGCUUUACAUCCCUGGCUUGGUUCUCAGGCAAGGUCAGCCCUUUUCGCCGUGUCCUCAUAGGAUUUAACAUGACAAAGAGAAACAGCAUGUUUUGCAAAAUGCAGAGCCCAAUUUCAAGGACCAUAACAUCCUUGAGUAUUCAGAAUUGGACACAGCAUCCCAUCUGUAGCACAGAGAGCUUCAAGGAGAGCUGAAGAAUUACUUAAUGGUUUUGUAGGUGGUAACACUGGCUAUAAAUUGCAAUAAGGGUUUGCCUUUUUUACAGGAGUGUAACAUUGUUUACUCCUGUUCAGCCUAUGAUCUAUAUUAAUAUCCAAAUCUUUUUCUGUGAUGUUCUUACAUAGCUUGGCAUUCCUCACCUUAUGUUUUUGUAGUUUAUUAUUCUUGCCUAAGUGUGGCAACCUAUUUGUUUUUAUUGAGUUGCCUCAACUCCUCCUGAAGUUGUUCCACAAUAUAUACCUGUUGUGUUUGAUUGGCAAAAAUACCUACCCACAGUAACUGUGAGUAAACCAAUGUGUAUUUAAAAAGAAGCUGCUCUAUUCUCUAGAGAGAAGUCUAACAAAUUAAAUAUUCACAUCUUUUUUAUUGAA